rnacentral:rRNA from 1 species
UACGGGAGGCAGCAGUGGGGAAUAUUGCACAAUGGGCGCAAGCCUGAUGCAGCCAUGCCGCGUGUAUGAAGAAGGCCUUCGGGUUGUAAAGUACUUUCAGUCGUGAGGAAGGUGUUAAGGUUAAUAACCUUAGCAAUUGACGUUAGCGACAGAAGAAGCACCGGCUAACUCCGUGCCAGCAGCCGCGGUAAUACGGAGGGUGCGAGCGUUAAUCGGAAUUACUGGGCGUAAGGGCACGCAGGCGGUUAAUUAAGUUGGAUGUGAAAUCCCCGGGCUUAACCUGGGAAUGGCAUUCAAGACUGGUUAGCUAGAGUCUUGUAGAGGGGGUAGAAUUCCAUGUGUAGCGGUGAAAUGCGUAGAGAUGUGGAGGAAUACCGGUGGCGAAGGCGGCCCCUGGGACAAAGACUGACGCUCAUGUGCGAAAGCGUGGGGAGCAAACAGGAUUAGAUACC